UACAGAGGUCUCAAGCGUUGUUUCGGAUUCAGUUGGGCGUAAAGGGUGUCGUAGGUGGCGCGACUAAGGUCAGGUGUCGAAAUUUCGGAGCUUAACUACCGAAACUGCAUUUGAUACUGGCGUGCUUGAGGAUGGAGAGGAGACUGGAAUUCAUGGUGUAGCAGUAGAAAUGCGUAGAGAUCAUGAGGAAGACCAGUGGCGAAGGCGGGUCUCUGGACAGUUCCUGACACUGAGGCACGAAGGCCCAGGGGAGCAAACGGG
rnacentral:rRNA from 1 species